UACGUAGGGCGCAAGCGUUAUCCGGAAUUAUUGGGCGUAAAGAGCUCGUAGGCGGCUUGUCGCGUCUGCCGUGAAAGUCCGGGGCUCAACUCCGGAUCUGCGGUGGGUACGGGCAGACUAGAGUGAUGUAGGGGAGACUGGAAUUCCUGGUGUAGCGGUGAAAUGCGCAGAUAUCAGGAGGAACACCGAUGGCGAAGGCAGGUCUCUGGGCAUUAACUGACGCUGAGGAGCGAAAGCAUGGGGAGCGAGCAGG
rnacentral:rRNA from 1 species